rnacentral:rRNA from 1 species
AUAAUGAUUGAAAGGAACAGACGGGGGCAUUCGUAUUGCUGCGUUAGAGGUGAAAUUCUUGGAUCGCAGCAAGAUGAACAAUUGCGAAAGCAUUUGCCAAGAAUGUUUUCAUUAAUCAAGAACGAAAGUUAGAGGUUCGAAGGCGAUCAGAUACCGCCCUAGUUCUAACGGUAAACUAUGCCAACCAGCGAUUCGCCGAAGUUCAUUUGUUGAAUGAAUUGUUGACGUAUUGUGAAACAUUGUUGCACCAUGAAUUUGGGGCAAAAUAUGCGAAUUGCAUUGAUGAUGAAAUUAAAGUUUUAAUCGACAAGCACGCCAAACUUAUGGAACAGUAUGAAAAUUUCCAAGAAGAAAAGGGUCGUCUGUUUGAAAUACGUCACAUUUGCGACGUUUUGAACGCGCGACUGUUUGAGUUGUAUGAAUCUGUGAAAGAAGCAAGAAGAGAAAAGUUCCACGCGGGUGUUCGUACUCCGGUGAACAAAGACAGCGAUUCGCCGAAGUUCAUUUAAGACUCGGCGAGCAGCUUCCGGGAAACCAAAGUGUUUCGGUUCCGGGGGAAGUAUGGUUGCAAAGCUGAAACUUAAAGGAAUUGACGGAAGGGCACCACCAGGAGUGGAGCCUGCGGCUUAAUUUGACUCAACACGGGAAAACUCACCCGGCCCGGACACUGGAAGGAUUGACAGAUUGACAGCUCUUUCUUGAUUCAGUGGGUAGUGGUGCAUGGCCGUUCUUAGUUGGUGGAGCGAUUUGUCUGGUUAAUUCCGAUAACGAACGAGACUCUACCCUAUUAAAUAGUGACAGUAUUGUAUUUUUUCAAAUUGAAAGCUGCACGAAAAAGAGCAAUAACAGGUCUGUGAUGCCCUUCGAUGUCCGGGGCUGCACGCGCGCUACAAUGAAAGCGUCAACGUGAGUUACGUCCUUACCUGAAAAGGUUUGGCAAUCGAAUGAAACGUUUUCUUGAAUGGAAUAGGGAAUUGCAAUUGUUUCCCUUGAACGAGGAAUUCCCAGUAAGCGUGAGUCAUUAGCUCGCGUUGAUUACGUCCCUGCCCUUUGUACACACCGCCCGUCGCUACUACCGAUUGGAUGAUUUAGUGAGGUGUUUUGACUGGCGCCAGUAGUCGGAUAUGUAUUCGGCUUCGCGCCGGGAAAUUUCCCAAACCAAAUCAUCUAGAGGAAGUAAAAGUCGUAACAAGGUUUCCGUAGGUGAACCUGCGGAAG